UGCGUAGGCGGCUUGCUAAGUCAGUGGUGAAAUCGUCCGGCCCAACCGGACACGUGCCAAUGAUACUGGUGAGCUUGAGUGCGUGAGGGGUAGGGGGAACGAGCAGUGUAGCGGUGAAAUGCGUAGAUAUUGCUCGGAAGGCCAAAGCCGAAGGGACCCUACUGGUGCGCAACUGACGCUGAGGCACGAAAGCGUGGGAGCAAACA
rnacentral:rRNA from 1 species